UCGAGUUAGUUGAGAAUUUUUUCUAACAAACUUCUAGCAUCAGUGUGCAACACACACGAGAGAAUUUUUCCCUUUCCCCUCCCUUUUUUCCAUUUAACGUUUUGUAGCUCUAGACAACAGUUUCUCUCUCUCACUCACUUGAAUGGAGGCGAGCGACAAGCGGCGAUUGGCGAGAGUGGCGGCGAGCGACGAUCGACUAUCGGUGACAGUGGCGGCACGCAGCGAUCGAAGCAUCGAUUCGAAGGGCUUAUGAUCGGUAGCGAGCGGCGGCAGUGGCGAUCGAAGGUGAUGAGCAGGAAGGCGGUGACGCCUAGGUGUGACUCGCAAGCUUGUUUUGGG